UACGAGGGGGGCAAGCGUUGUUCGGAAUUAUUGGGCGUAAAGGGCGCGUAGGCGGUGCGGUAAGUCUGUUGUGAAAUCUCCGGGCUCAACUCGGAGUCUGCAUCAGAAACUGCCGUGACUCGAGUGUGGGAGAGGUGAGUGGGAAAUUCCGGUGUGCGGUGAAAUGCGUAGAUAUCGGGAGAACACCUGCGGCGAAAGCGGCUCACUGGCCACAACUGACGCU
rnacentral:rRNA from 1 species